rnacentral:tRNA from 1 species
GCCGGGGUGGCGUAAUUGGUAGCCGCGCUAGUUUUAGGAACUAGUGGAGUAAUCCAUGCGAGUUCGAGUCUCGCCCCCGGCA